GUCGAGCGGACAGAUGGGAGCUUGCUCCCUGAUGUUAGCGGCGGACGGGUGAGUAACACGUGGGUAACCUGCCUGUAAGACUGGGAUAACUCCGGGAAACCGGGGCUAAUACCGGAUGCUUGAUUGAACCGCAUGGUUCAAUUAUAAAAGGUGGCUUCUGCUACCACUUACAGAUGGGCCCCCGGCGCAAUAACUAGUUGGUGAGGUAACGGCUCACCCAGGGAACCAUGCCUAACCCAACUGAAAGGGUAAUCGGCCACACUGGGACUGAAACACCGCCCAAACUCCUACGGGAGGCAGCAGUAAGGAAUCUUCCGCAAUGGACGAAAGUCUGACGGAACAACCCCGCGUGAAUUGAUGAAGGGUUUCCGAUCCAUAAAACUCUGGUCGUUAGGGAAGAACAAGUACCGUUCCAAUAGGGCGGUACCUUGACCGGUACCUAACCAAAAAGCCAGCGGUCUAACUACGUGCCAGCAGCCGCGGUAAAUACCGUAAGCUGGCAACUCGUUAGUCAGGAACUUAUUGGGCGUAAAGGCGCGCGGCAGCGCCGUUUCAUUAACGUCUGAUGUGAAAGCCCCCGGCUCAACCGGGGAGGGUCAAUGGGAAACUGGGGAACUUGAGUGCAGAAGAAGAGAGAGUGGAAUUUCCAACGUGUAGCGGUGAAAUGCGUAGAGAUGUGGAAGAACACCAGUGGCGAACGCGUACUCUCUCGUCUGUAACUGACGCUGAAGCGCGAAAGCGUGGGGAGCGAACAGAAUUAGAUACCUUGGUAGUCCACGCCGUAAACGAUGAAUGCUAAGUGUUAGAGCGUUUCCGCCAUUUAGUGCUGCAACAAACCCAUUAACCAAUCCCCCUGGCGAGUACGGUCGCAAGACUGAAAUUCAAAGGAAUUGACGGGGGCCCGCACAAGCGGUGGACCAUGUGGUUUAAUUCGAAGCAACGCGAAGAACCUUACCAGGUCUUGACAUCUUCUGAACUAGAUCGCUGCAUCAGCAGAUAGGUGCAGUGUCCACUAGUCGAUGAGUAGUCGACAGCACUGACUAGGUGGUGCAUAGUUGACGUCAGAUCGUGUCACGAGAUGUUGGGUUAAGUCCCGCAACGAGCGCAACCCUUGAUUUUAGUUGCCAGCAUUCAGUUGGGCACUUUAAGGUGACUGCCGGUGACAAACCGGAGGAAGGUGGGGAUGACGUCAAAUCAUCAUGCCCCUUAUGACCUGGGCUACACACGUGCUACAAUGGGCAGAACAAAGGGCAGCAAAGCCGCGAGGUUAAGCCAAUCCCACAAAUCUGUUUUCAGUUCGGAUCGCAGUCUGCAACUGGACUGCGUGAAGCUGGAAUCGUUAGUAAUCGCGGAUCAGCAUGCCGCGGUGA
rnacentral:rRNA from 1 species